rnacentral:rRNA from 1 species
CGGCAGCCUAACACAUGCAGUCGGACGGUAGCACAGAGAAGCUUGCUCUUCGGGUGACGAGUGGCGGACGGGUGAGUAAUGUCUGGGAAACUGCCUGAUGGAGGGGGAUAACUACUGGAAACGGUAGCUAAUACCGCAUAACCUCGCAAGAGCAAAGUGGGGGACCUUCGGGCCUCACGCCAUCGGAUGUGCCCAGAUGGGAUUAGCUAGUAGGUGGGGUAACGGCUCACCUAGGCGACGAUCCCUAGCUGGUCUGAGAGGAUGACCAGCCACACUGGAACUGAGACACGGUCCAGACUCCUACGGGAGGCAGCAGUGGGGAAUAUUGCACAAUGGGCGCAAGCCUGAUGCAGCCAUGCCGCGUGUAUGAAGAAGGCCUUCGGGUUGUAAAGUACUUUCAUCGGGGAGGGAGGCGGUGAGGUUA